rnacentral:rRNA from 1 species
GCCUUUUGACAAAAUAUAAGAGGUCCAGCCUGCCCAGUGACAAAGUUAAACGGCCGCGGUACCCUAACCGUGCAAAGGUAGCACAAUCACCUGUUCUCUAAAUAAGGACUAGUAUGAACGGCAUCACGAGGAUUAUGCUGUCUCCCCCCUUUAAUCUAUGAAACUGAUCCCCCCGUGAAGAAGCGGGGAUAAACCUAUAAGACGAGAAGACCCUGUGGAGCUUUAAGCUAACACCACUUACCUCAAAAUACACCAUAACAAACAGAUAAGCUUGUGUACUAGCUUUAGGUUGGGGCGACCGCGGAGUAAAACUAAACCUCCACGAUGAAAGACCAUUCUUUCUAAUCCAAGAGCAACACCUCAAAGAAUCAACAAACUGACAUAAUUGACCCAAUACUUUGAUCAACGAACCAAGUUACCCCAGGGAUAACAGCGCAAUCCAUUUCAAGAGCUCAUAUCGACAAAUGGGUUUACGACCUCGAUGUUGGAUCAGGGUAUCCCAGUGGUGCAGCCGCUACUA